UGGUGGUCCAUCUUUAGCGACUACAGUCGCGAGAAGUACAGGACGGCUUCUCGAGUCCAAAUUGACCGAGAAAUCACGAUCGAAAGUACAAUGCUGGAGAUAGUACAAUUUUUAUUGUUAUAUUCAAUGUUAGAUUUACCGAAUUAUCGCCGACUUCACGCCAGUGACGAUUUUGAUCGCGGACGCGCCGAGUCGAUAGAAUCCUCUGCGAACGACGUUCAGUCCUCUCCCGAGCACGCCGCGCUCCUCGCUGCAAAUACUGAUAAUCAAGCGGGAGUUGUUAACGGGGAACGCUAUUCAGGAAACGUAAACCUAAGUACAUGUCUGCUCCGUGUAACCCGACGAAUUGUCAGAGCUGAACCCACUCGACCUGGUCAAUUCUGUAUUCCUCACGCUACACACGUAUUGUUUAGACACAAAGGCUGCCGCGAUUUAAUAUCUAAUAUGAAGAGAAGAAUUCGCUUGACUCAGUGAAACGGCAUGAAAGAAAGGAUUCUUUCUCAGGGACGCGGGGAAAGCAAGGCCGAGUUCGCUUCGCGUAAAGAUGGAAUGUCUCGCGACUGCUGUUGAAUAGUGCACAUGGCAGUUAUUUAUUGUUAUUAUCUAGUGCCUCACCGUGUCUUUCGCGGCAGAUACAUCGAAGGAGAACUCUCGGCGAUUAACAGCGAGACUUGGCAUUUCUUGCUGAAAGAAAUAUUCCGCAAUGUAGCACGUAAAAUGCUUUCGAUAUAUCACGACGCUCCGCAGCGGACUAGGUGUUUGCAACAACGUACGUGGAUACGAUCGUAGCAGCUCAUGAAAAUUCUCCGGCUAUUUUAAGGAGUACGGAGUCGGACCGAGUAAGGGAAGAGGAAACGAAACGUGGAAGAUAGGCGCCACGAUUCGCGCUCACGUUUCGCGAACGGGAGAUUCGAAGAAAUUCAAUCUCGGAAGCUACGCCAAUUGUCAGCAUGGUAUUUCAUAUAUGUAUACAUCUUUCAUUAUAUAUUCGUUAUAUAUCUCUAAUUUAUUAUUCAGGCUGGUGAAUCCGCCUCCGUUAUUAAUGAGGUGACAUACAGCAAUAUGUUUAUAUUUAUCGAGCAAAGUGAAUUGUAUUGAUAUUUAGACACUUUGCUAUUCAGGCGAUCAAAUUGCCGAGCACAUUGAUAACACAUGUUCGUUCCAACGGGAUAAGUCACGUCACUAUUACACUGAGAAGAAAAUACUUGAAAACUUAUUUGCGAGAUAUCAAGUUUAUCUCUAAGAAAAAAAAUGUAUCUCUUUAUGAGGUAAAGUUUAUAUCACACAAAUAUAAGUUUUCAAGUAUUUUAUUCUCAGUGUAAGCAAUGAUCUUAAUUAUAAUUAAGUAUCUUCUUCAUUAUUAAAAUCUUUUUAAGAGACUCCAAAUUGUGUAUUAAAAUACACAAAUUCCACGUUACUUUUCCACGUAGAAAAUCAAUGCGAUUUAUACAUAAACAUGCACUACGUAAUGUAAUGCUUUAUAAGCGUUUGGAUUGUACACUCACCAAUUGAUGUUUUGGUAUUGAACAACGUCCAGAUGUCCAAGUU